rnacentral:rRNA from 1 species
UACGUAGGGGGCAAGCGUUGUCCGGAUUCAUUGGGCGUAAAGAGCUCGUAGGCGGUUCGGUAAGUCGGGUGUGAAAUCUCCGUGCUCAACACGGAGCGGCCACCUGAUACUGCCGUGACUCGAGUCCGGUAGAGGAGAGUGGAAUUCCCGGUGUAGCAGUGAAAUGCGUAGAGAUCGGGAGGAACAUCAGUUGCGAAGGCGGCUCUCUGGACCAGCACUGACACUGAGGCACGAAAGCGUGGGGAGCAAACAGG